rnacentral:rRNA from 1 species
GCUUGUCUCAAAGAUUAAGCCAUGCAUGUCUAAGUAUAACUCUUUUACUUUGAAAACUGCGAACGGCUCAUUAUAUCAGUUAUAGUUUCUUUGAUAGUCCCUUACUACUUGGAUACCCGUAGUAAUUCUAGAGCUAAUACAUGCACAAAGCGACCUUCACGGGUCGUGUAUUUAUUAGAUACAAUCAGCCCUUCGGGUCAUGAUGAAUCAUAAUAACUGAACUAAGCGCAUGCUUCGGCGGCGCUGUUUCAUUCAAGUUUCUGCCCUAUCAGCUUUCGAUGGUAGGGUAUUGGCCUACCAUGGCGUUAACGGGUAACGGAGAAUUAGGGUUCGAUUCCGGAGAGGGAGCCUGAGAGAUGGCUACCACAUCCAAGGAAGGCAG